GAGUUUGAUCGUGGCUCAGGACGAACGCUGGCGGCGCGCUUAACACAUGCAAGUCGAGCGAGAACCAGGCCUUCGGGCUUGGGAAAGCGGCGAACGGGUGAGUAACACGUGGGUAACCCACCCUUGGUACCGGGAUAGCCCGGGGAAACCCGGAUUAAUACCGGAUGGCCCAACAGCUCUUCGGGGCGGUUGGAAAAGGUAGCUUCGGCCUCCGACCAAGGACGGGCCCGCGGCGGAUUAGCUUGUUGGUGAGGUAACGGCUCACCAAGGCGACGAUCCGUAGCUGGUCUGAGAGGACGAUCAGCCACACUGGGACUGAGACACGGCCCAGACUCCUACGGGAGGCAGCAGUGGGGAAUCUUGCGCAAUGGGCGAAAGCCUGACGCAGCGACGCCGCGUGGGGGAAGAAGGCUUUCGGGUUGUAAACCCCUUUCAGGAAGGACGAAGCUACUCGGGUUAAUAGCCCAGAGGGUGACGGUACUUCCAGAAGAAGCCCCGGCUAACUACGUGCCAGCCGCCGCUGUAAC
rnacentral:rRNA from 1 species